rnacentral:lncRNA from 10 species
CUCAUGAGGGCUUCAUACACGUGUUCUAUUUUCAUCCUCCUUUGGAAAUUAGAUUUAUUGGUAAAACAUAAUUUCCAUAUAACUACUUCUCUCUGAAAGCAUAAAUUGCUUAUUCCCCAUGCUGUGUGCUACAGAGAUAUGGAAAAAAAAAUGACGUAUUUUCCCGGCUCUUAGGGAGCUACACAGUGGAGAUGGGUACAGGGUGGGGAGAAAUACUAUCUCAUAUAGCUGACAUUUAGAGAGUGUGCAAGCACUGUUAGAGAUUCCCUAUAUUAACUUAUGCAGUCAUUACCACAACAGAUGAAGAAACAAAAUAUGGAGACAUUAAGCAGUUUGUUCAAUGCCCAACAGUAAAUGACAAAACUGGGAUUUGAACCCAAAGAAGUCUGGUGCCAGAACCUGCCUUUUUAACUACAAUCCUAUACAGCCUCUUAACUAUAACUCUAUUAAUUAUCUAUACAGUAUAGUGCUAAAAAAUGCUAAAAGUGGGUAUAGGACUGGAAUAAAGAAAUUUCACUGCAUGGGAUGGUUUGAAGACCAGGAGCCGUAAUAAAGAGAGAGAAAGGAAUCAAAGCUACUUGAGUCAGAUUCUGGAUGACAUUUGAUUGCACUGAUGGGUUUUGCCUGAACUGAGCAUUCACUGAAGGGUUUUGAGGAGAGCUGUGUUUUGAUCUCACCUGAGUUUUACAGAAGUUACUAUGCUGGUGGUAUUAACCCCUUAUAUCGUAGAGGCAAGAAAUUACAGCUUCUCCACUUAAGAGUCCACUGGGGGAACCAUGUAAAAAGGAAAAUGAGACUCCAAGCUCUUGUGAGAAUGGAGAGAAAACAUGAAAUAUGAUUUUUAAGGGACCAACCUGACAGAACUUUGAAAGUCAAGAUGAAGCCAGUGGCUGGAUUGAAGAUGAUUCUAGCUUAAUGGAGGAUAUCACUCUUCAAAUAGAUGGGAAUACAAAUGGAGCUGAUUUAGCACAUGAGAAAGCUCUCAGGGAUCAGGGUCCCUCUGUGCCAUCCAGGCUGGAGUGCAGUGGCAUGAUCAUAGCUCACUGCAGCCUCGACCUUCCAGGCUCAAGAGAUCCUCCUGCUUCAGCUUCCUGAGCAGCUGGGACCGCAGGCAUGUGCCAUCAAGCCUUCUAUUCUAUUUUUCAUCUACCAGAAUCCAGCAAACUUCAUAUAUUAUUUUCAUUACUAUUGAGGGCUUCUAGGUAUAACUUCGGUAUUCUACUUUUUGUUUUAAAUUUUUGUUUGUCCAUACCUCAGAUAAUAAUCAAAUCAAGAUGAUCCAGUACACAGUUAACAAAACAAUUACAAUGUCCGUAAAAUAUCAAAUAAAGACUAAAACAUAUGAAUAUGUUGGUCUGAAAAUAUAUAGCGUAUUCAGCUAAUUUUUGGAAAACACCAGUUGUAUUUCUGUAUCAUCCCAAAUAUCGCCUUCUCUAAAGAUAUUCUCAUAAUUUAUAAAGUGAAAAUUCAAAUAUCUAAGGUGAAAUGUAGUGUGAUAAAUAUAGGUAUAUGUGUAUUAAAUUCGUACCUAGGUUAUCAUUGCAUAUCAAGAUGAAACCACAUUUAUCUAUUUUAUAUGGAUAUACAUAAAAUAGAUAUGAACUUAAGCAUUUAUCUCUCCAUUUAAGAUAUAAACAAAAUAGAUAAGAACUUAAGUAUUUAUCUUCCCAUUUGGGAUAUAAAUAGAUAUAAACUUAAGUAUUUAUGAAAGAUUCCUUUAUAUCUACAAUAUAAUAUAUAGAUUAAAUUGUAUCACAUUACCAACCAUUAGUAACAGAUGAGGUGAUUUUAUAAAUUAUAGAAGGGAGAAAAUAAUAGUGGGUUUUAUGGCCCAUAUAAUUCCUUUUAGGGUUUGGCCAGACUAGUGACUAAACAAGUAGAAGCUUAUAGAAUUAAUUAAGAUUGUAUAUAUACUAUUAAAUGUCGAUUUGAAUAGGAAUGUUUGGUUAAAAAAGAGGUGAUUAAAAAAAGUCAGCAGGACAUCCUCAUCAAGAGUGAUUAAUAAGAACCACAGCCAUGUGCAAGUGACCUUAACGGAAGACAUGAUGUCCCCUGUCCAGCUAUGGACUUCUCUGAUGCAGUAGGGACCUUCCCAAUGGCCUCAAGAUAGAGAUGAUUAUAUGACUGAAGGGAUGCACUGAUGGAAGUAUAACCUCUCCACUGGCAAGAAGAAAGUAAGGCAGUGUUAACAGGACACCUAGAGCAUGCCAAUGUAAGUUCCUCACUCCUUUAUAGAUUGUGUGGCCUAUUUUUAGUCUAGGCACCUGCCUCUUUCCCCCUCUACUUAUCAUCUACCCUGUGCAUAAUGAGAAAUGUGAGAAGCAGCAGUAAAACAAGUUUUUCUAUUUGGCCAGAAAAAUAGGUUUAAAUCCAUUUAUUGUCUCAGUCACAACCAACAUGAAAGUAUGUAAAUAAGAUCUGCAGUAAUUUUUUAGGCCAUGCAGCAACUUUUGGUGAACAUUAAGCUAGUUAGUAAUAAUUUUUAAUGUGCGAAUUAAUCUGUAUAUGUCUAAGUGACAUCCAACCAUUAGCUAGUGUAUAAUGACAGUCUUCAUGUUAACUAAUAUCUCUUUUACACAAAGUUUGCAGAAAGCUAAUGUGCUGUUCUGAACACACACUAUUCUAAUAUCAAACAGUGAAAAAGAUUUAAGUAGAAACGCAAACCAUAUAUAUAUAUAUACACAUGGUUACACUAUAUAUAUAUAUAUACAUGGUUACACUAUAUAUAUAUACACACUAUAUAUGUACACUAUACAUAUACACUAUAUAUAUACACUAUAUA